GCGCUCACUUCAGCAGCACAUAUACUAAAAAUUGGAACAAUACAGAGAUUACCAUGCCCCUGCAUGAGGAUGACAUGCAAAUUCGUGAAGCAUUCCAUAACAAA